GGAGGUGGUGGAGGAAUGGGUGAGAUGUGAAUGGGACCUGUGUUAUAGCACCUACGUGAAGAGAAGCAUUUAAUCACAAUAACAGCAGCACAAGCUUACAUUAAUUAUAAUUUUCUUAAAGUGGAUCUCCAGAACGUCAGGUUUUUGAAAGACUUUCUAAACUCAAAGCUUCAGACAACUGGAUUAUAAGCUUCUUAAAAGCUGGGAUAGUGCAUUCUUCUUUAUCUCCACCACAUUACAUGAUGCAAAGUUCUGUACAUAUGACCCUCAAUACUCAUUUGCCAAUAUGGAAGACUGUAUUUUAACUGGUUUAGAAAUUAAGCUACAAUACAGAUGGGUACAUGCCCAAACAGAUGUUAGUGGACUCUGGCCCAUGCAUUACAUAUAUGGCUGUGGCAUACAAACUGGCCACAUUUUGAUUCCUCUUUUCCAAGAGCCUGUGGGAGUCCCCGGCCCUUCCGCGCAGGCCAGCAUAUAUCCUUUUUCCAGCCAACCUCCUCCACCAAAGAAAAUGGCAUGGAAAUCCUAGACCAUUCCUUCUGCAUCCUGGAGGAGGGCUUGCACCUUCUUCAACUUGUAGAUAAAGAUAUUGGCUAUUUGUUCAUCAAUAUAGUUUCUCAGCACAAUCAGUUUGGGAAAAGAGGGUAGGACAAAAACUUGAAAUUUAAGAAACAAAGAUGCUAACCUUUGAUCUGGGCUGUCUUUGGUAAGUGGUUGAGGAAAAAAAGUAAAGUGAUGCACUCACCAAGACUGUACGUAUUUUAUUUUGGCUUUAUUAAAGGAACGUAAUGCACGGAGCCAGGCAGGGGCCAGAAGAGCUUUGAGAGGUGCUGCCAUUUCAGGGGGAAAAUAAAGUAUAAUCUCAUUCAUACAAGAUUCUUAAAGACAUCCAAGAUUCUUCCUCGUUUGGAAGAGAAAUGUGAAACCUUGUCAUUUUACACUUGAUUUAGUUAGAGUCUACUGACAGUCAAUAUAUACAAAACCUUUGCCUUUUGGACAAGGUAGACUAUGACCAUAGCAUCUUGGCAUUUGAAAAACUCCAUGCAUCCAAAGAUCAGAAACCCUUCAAAUGUAUCACUUGAAUGAAGGGAACUGAACAUUAUGACAUUUCUUUAAAGAAUCAAGCUGAAGAGACUGACCAUUUUCACGAGCAUCUUAUUUCAGAUAUUUUGAGUUCUUCGACCAGAAUCCACUUGGCUCUGCUUCUUGAUGGUAGAUUUUUUACUGAAUCGAUCAACUUCACUAGUGAGUUCAGCUUCACUGGCGUGAUGUAAGCCCCAGAAAAGCCAUAGGAAUUGCUUCAUGCCAAGGAAUAAUUUCCAAAAGGAAACUAACAUCCCAGCUUCCAGUAACCAUUUUUAGAAGAAAAACACCAACCAUGCCUCAUCAGGCUUGGUAUACAAAGAAAAACAGGACAAGCCUUACUAAACGCUUCUAGCAAACACAGUCUCAGUGACUUCUCCUUUCCCUGUCCUGGGCUUAUGGCGUUAGCUUCUGGAUAAGGAAGCAAUGGGGAAGUUCUGAAUUACCACCUCAUUUAAUAACCACAGUUAAAAAAAAAAAAAAGCAGAAUCUGAUACUUUCAGUCAGGUAACUUUUGGGAAUGAGAUGUUUUAAAAAAGAAGAUUUAGGGAUGCAGCCGUUUACUGGCUGAAAUAAAGGAAAUUAUGAAAGAGCAAGGUCAGGAGAUGAAAAACCGAUGCCAGUUUGGCCACGCCGCAGCCAAGAAUGAAGAGUUUAGGUUGGCCUGGAAGACCAAUGGUAUGACAGGGAAAAUGAAAAUAGAGAAUUAAACAACGCUAAGAUAAAAGCGACAAGGAACAAUGAUGACGUAAACGGAGUAAAUUGUGUGCACUUCUGUGUGAGCCAGCUGUGGAGAGCUUUGACCAACAUACAGUGGUCUCAGGGAUAAAGGGAGCACUCCUGCCUCAGACACCCAAGCAAAAUCCCUGCCAUGGCUCGCUGCCUGAGAGUCCACUAGGAAGGUGUAGUCCUUCUGCUAUUUACAUACUAAAACAUGACCCUUGAGGAAGGAGACAUUUAAUUGUUGCUAGUUAUUACAGCUUAGUGUGAUUUUAGCUACUUUAAAGGGUCUUCCUCUCGAACAAAGUUCUUAGUGAAAAGAAGGUGGGUGGUUUUUGUUUUUCAGAAAGGGACAGAUUGAAGCUGGUAUCUAAGCAGGGUGGGAUGGCAGGUGAAUAGGAGAAAGGAAGGAAGAAAGGACUCAAACAUACAGAAGGGGAGAUGGGAAGAUCCCCAAGAUCUCAAAUGCUUUCUAGUUUCAUCCAAGGUCCACUCUGCCUUUACAACUAGUACGAUGAAGUCAGUCACUUAUCACUACAGAUCCUCUUCCAACUGUGCAUAGUUCUUAAGUGUUUCGGUUAAGUGUACACUCAUCUAAACAGGUAUUCUUUAACAUCAUGCCAAGAGAAGCUCUAGUUCCAGUGUGACACACAGGAGGAUAUCGUAGGUAACACUGCUAAUGUGCCUUACCGUUCAUCUGUCCGACCCAAGAGCUGAGCCCCAGCACAGCUCCACAGGCGCCGCGUUUGGCAGGGAAGCCUGGAGCCUUUGUGCCGAUUCCAAGAGGGGAUCCCAUCUCCAGGUGGGCGUAGCUCCUUGCCACAGUCCAUGGCUUGAUAAGCCCAUCCCAGCCUGGAUUUCUACUCUAUUCACGGCCUCAGUAGGAUACCCUUGUGCAAUUAGCAACUUACACAAAUGUGGGGUCCUGGGCAGACAAGGAGACUGGGAAUACUAACCCCAGAGGCUUCUUUUGGUUUUUCACAUUUAGUUUCUGAAUGACUUACUGUGGGGAAAUAUCUUACUUCCUCAGUACCUUAGUUAGUUUCAUCAUUAAAAAAUUUAUUUAUUUUUGAGACAGGAUGUCACUCUGUUGUCCUGGCUGGAAUGCAGUGGUGUGAUCAUAGCUCACUGCAGCCUUGAACUCCUUGGCUCAAGCGGUUCUCCUGCCCCUUCCCUGAGUACCUGGGAGUACAGGUGUGUGCUACCAUGCCUGACUACUUUUUACAUUUUUGCAGAGAUAGGGGUCCCACUAUGUUGCCCAGGCUGGUCUUGGACUCCUGGCCUCAAGUGGUCCUCCCACCUCGGCCUCCCAAAGCCCUUAGACUAUAGGCAUGAGCUACUGUGCCCGGCCUAGUCUCAUCAGUAAGUAAAAAGCAGGUCUGCUUAAUAUUCCCCCACAAAACUAGGUGGAUAUGCAGCCAAAGUGUUUCAUUCAGGACCAAAAAAGAAAAAGGGUCAAAAGCAUUCUUUACUUCUAUUAGACUAAAGGAAGUCUUAUGCUUCGUUCAGCAUUCAUAAUGGUUCACUUAACAAGUACAGUGAUUGGUUAAGUUUUAUUAAAAUUUGCAGGAUGAAUACAGACCUCCAAAUUGAAACAGUCAACUUAGAUACAGCAAUUAGUGUUUUUCCCCAGCAGGACUGUAGUGUGUACCUUUCCAGAUACUGGAAUGUGUUUGAAAGACUUUCUAUGAGUUUCUCCUGGUUAACAACCAUAGUCUUUUCAUCCACCUAUCACUUAAUAUGCUCCUGUAAAAUAUUAGAUUACCCACCUGCAGACAAUAUUUCAACAAAGAGAGAAAUAUCAUUAUUUUCCCUGAAAUGACAAUUAUUAUGGCAAAAGGUCAAGGAGCUACUACAGAUCCCUGAAAAACCAGGAAGGCUCAACAAGGAUGAAAUUUUCUUUCUUGUCAGCCCUAACCAAAUAUACAGCUGUUAAGGGAACCACCUGUCUCCUAGAUUUCCCCACGCCAGCUGUAACUCAGGUCUGAAAUGUACUGGAUUCCUCUCCAGGUCAGCUGCAGCACCAGAUGGCUGAGCAGUCUGAAUCAGGGGCAAGCCUCCUCCCCUGCAGGCUCUGUUUCCAACAUUGGUGUAAGGGGUAGUCACACAUCUACAACACCCAGGGGCUGGCUCUUUGAUGGUCAGUGGUCGCACCAUGCAUCAGAGGGGACAGUCCCUUGGGCUUCAGAAUUCAUUCUGGGAAUCCCACCUUCCCUACUGUCCAUGGAGUGGAGUGAGAGGCCUCGCUCCAUGUUAGAGGUGACCGGCCAGGGGGCUCUGGAGAUCAGCACAGGCUGAUGAACCAGGUGCUUCUGCAGGUCUCAACCCUCCCAUUGCUGCUUAAUGCUGGUAAUUUCUGCUGCUUCACCUAUUUCCACUUUGCUCAUUUGACACUAUCUAAUAAGCACCUGCAUGGGACGAUUCAUGCCACUGCUUAUCUACUCAUUCAGGAGCUUCUGCCAGUGGCAGUGGCCUAGUUAGAAAAGACAAACAUGGUGUUCCAUGCCCGGGUGACUUCAGGAUAUCCCUUGUUUCAGCGACCUCAACAAUUCAUUGUAAUAAUAAAAGCUUUGGUCCUUUAAGCAAAAAAAAAAAAAAAAAAAAAAAAAAAAACCCAAAACACAAAAAAACACCAUCCUUCUUCAUGUGCCAGUUUAACAAGCACCUCCCGCGACUCCUCACCAGGACUUUUAAAAUUCACAGGUCCAUCGGGUCCAAUGGAAAACUCGGGAGAGGUGAGCCCAGAACCAAAUAUCACAGUCUUAGGUCCAUACAGAGCCUAGCAGUCCCACUAGUGAUGACUUCUUCUGUUGACUACAAAAAGACUGUGCUGAUUCUCUGUAACUUAGAGGGGAAAUACACUAGAUCUUACUGGCCACUAACACGUCAUUGUGAUUCUGCUGUUCACUGUCAACAUCUAGCAGGGCCCCUAGGAAGGGAACGCAAGACAGAAAAAGCACAGAAGAAAGGUCCAGGGGCACAGAGCAUUGUCUGUGAAGGCAGGCCCGGGGGGGCCUCACAGGGAGCAUCUCGGGGCAGCCAUGAAGCAGCAAGAAGAUCCUGGACACUGAGGGAAGGAGACAGCUAUGAAAGCAUUGGAAGAAUUUCAGCAUCAUCCUUUUUUCCCCCGAUGGGACAAUCAUCGUGUUCAGCUGUUUCAUGAACUCUCCCACCCUGCUCUGAGCGUCAGAAAGCAACAAUAGAGGAAGAAAAAACAAAAGCAGUAACACUGGGCUUCACAAGAAGACGUGAUGUCCUAAACGCUGCGAUGAGGACUGGGAGGAGGAGAUGUCCGGCGGAAGCUUGGGGCACAGACCACCAUGUGUGUCAGGCACCUCUUGGCCAAGGGGUUUCCAGCAGCUGGAUUUCAUUUUGAGAGUUCCUGUCACACGGGGAUCAAGCGCAGGAGAUCACUGCCGUCUGACUGUGGUUCUGCUGCCGUGCUCCUGUUCUCCUAAGGAAUGCAGCUCUCUGCGGGUGGCUGCUACCUCUUACGCUUCCUGGGUCCCCCCACCGGCCCCCGACAAGGCAUGGCGUGGUGCCAGACACUGGAGGUUCCUACUGUAUACUCAGGGGUUGACUCUCACCGGAGCAUUUUCACACCCCCUUCCCCUAUAGCAAUACGGUUUUCUUUUCAACUUGGAGUUCCAUGAGCCUUUCUGAUUCAGGUUCCUAGGGGUAAAAAUGGUCCAUGCAACACUCUCAGCCCAUUUCCUGUGAAAUGACUCUGGUAUAGUUACUUCUAGCCUAAGAGAGAUGUGGUUUAAUGGCUAGGUGGAAUAGAUUCUGUUUGAUCCAUUUAGUAAAAUAAUGUAUACACAGUGCCAAGCCCAGACUCUGGCACAAAGAAAAUACCGAAAAGAGGUUAGCUUCUUUUCUUCCUUCUACUGUACAAUUUUAGGGGCAGUAUGAAGGGUUUCUUGAUAUCCAGGGUGAUCAAAUAAUUCAUUCUCCAAGUGAGGACCCUUUUGAAAGCGGAGGGGAUAAUGUUAACGAUGAUUCUGGGACAAAAGAAGAAAACGGGGCUGAUGUGGGCAAACCCUCUGCGCCCCUCCUCUUCUGUCCUCUCCCCCAGUCUUUCCACUCAGCCUCUGAGCUUCAUCCUUUCAGUUGGAGGCUCAGAUUCAUAUUAAAAUAAAAAUGCCUCAGAAGACACAACACCGCAAUCUGUUUCCCAACAAUUUACGCUGUAGUAUCAAUGAAUCUUAUGGCCACUAGGUUUGAUAAGAGUUUCCAUGGUGAGAACGCGGGUCAUGGGGCAAGAGGGGAUGUCCUAAAAGAAGAAGGAUGACCCCCAAAAUGGGGAUGGCUGGGAAGAAAGUGACAAACUUCAGUCACAUUGUAAUUCUGAAAAGGGUCCAUUCUGGAUUUGACAGCGAUCAACUUUAAAUGCCAGACUGAAGACAGAAAAAAGAUCUUAACCAUCUGGUUUAAGUUCUUGCUUCCAGUUAAAGAAGUGGAGGCAUGGAGAGGGGGCGUCUUGGCAGAGUCGCCCCUCUGGUUCCUGAUAAAGCCUGGCCUGAUUCCAGUUAGGUGGACUCAUCUUGCCAAACACUGCCUUACUUCUUCACCGCUCCAUGUCUCUAACCAAAGAGAACGCUUGGCUUUCCAUUUUUAGAAAAUUAAAUAAGUGUACCUGAUUAUGGAUACUAAAAAAACGUAACACAUGGUCCUUGUACGUGAUGUGCUUGAAAUACAGCUGCUCACUCAUUAGCAGGUAGGAAGAGGAUUUAUCUUCUUUGGUCAAGAAUCUUUCUCUGGAACACCUCAGAGGGAAAAGUAAAAUAUUUCCUUGAUUUCAGGAUAACAAAAAACUCUCCACACCACACACUGAUUAGCAGCCACUGGGUUUUGUCUGAGGAAGAGCACGCCGCCCAUCAAUUGUUCCCAUGCUGCAUGCACGCUAGAGUAGUAUUUGAUCUAAAAACUUUCAUUUUUCUCAAUCAUUGCCAAUGACACUGAUUCUAUUAAACCUUCAGAAAAAAGAAAAGAAACAUCCUGCAGGCUCCUAUUUCUUCCCUGGAUGACUGGAUGAGGAUGGAUUUCUGAGUCUUUUUAGCCCUUUGGACUGUAGGGCCAAUGCCUGUUUGGAUUACACACACACACACACACACACACACACACAGAGAGAGAGAGAGAGAGAGAGAGAGAUGAGGAUGGGGGUGGGAAGGCAGGCAUGUGGUAGACCACUCUGCAAGGUGCUAAAAUGCUCUAGGCAAUGAGAUGGUUUAUAGGAUAAAGCCUCUGCUGUACUCUCCUGCUUCCUAAUUGUGCAGAUAACAAAUGAUAAUAAUAUUCUCCCACCACUAAGGGUCUCACUGUUAGUUCUAAAUUAUAUUCGAUAACAAGAAGAUCAAUAGCUAAGGCAAGUCUAAACAGUGGCUACCCCAAACACCUUUCCAACAUGUGCUGGAACGCUUUCGAUGUUAGUGAGAGCAAGUCUUAGCUCCCUGAAUAUAACUGUCACAGGCUAAUAUUAAAGUCGGUUUGAUUCCCUGAGCACAUUCCAAACUGUGGAAAAGGACUUGACCCAUCUGACUGACUACUGGGUAGCUCAGAGAGGGCAGUCUAGGAUCCAAAUUUGCUACGAAAAGCUCACCCCACAGAUACUCCACAUACUGUGUCCAUCUCAUUGCAGCUUCAGAAACCAUCGGGGACAACUUUUCCAUCCUUUCUUUUUGGGAUGACAAAGAAUUUUUUGUCACAUAAAUAAUUCAACUGAUGUUCACCCAAUACAUUUAUAAGUUUUUCAUUUCCAAGGUGGUAGGUUUCCCAAAGAUUCAACAUUAUGACAGGAGAUGAAAAAAAUGCCCCGAAGAUUUCAUUACUAGUCAAUCUUAUACACUGACCUAUGUGUUAAACAGCUGUCAUUAGAUGAUAAAUUCCAAGUAGUUGAUAUAAACCAUAGAAUCACCAUCUGUCAAAAUGAGUCGUAAACUUGGUCAACUCAAUGAAACAAUCUGCUAAUCCAAGAAACAUUCAGGUAGGAACAGAUGUCUUAGUGUUACAUGGUACAGUCAUGAUCUUGUCUAUGCAGUGAGGCCAAAUUUUAAGACUGAAGAGAGUUAAGCAUGGGUGCCAGGAGUUACGUUUCACCACCGAGUCCACCACCAUUCCUUACAACACAGGAUUCUCAGCAGAAAACUGCAACGAAGGUACCAAAUACCUUUCUACAAUCUAAUUACCUCUUACAAUAGCAUUUCCCAAAUGUUCCUGAAGAUGAUAAUUGCCUGGAACAUUGGCAAAAACAUGGAUUCUUGGAGCCAAGCCAUGCCCCUCAGCUCAGGCUUUCCAGGCGAAAGGCCUGGUCAUCUACAGGGCAGUGUUCCCUGGGAUUCUUAUCCUCCAGGAAGCCUGGGAAACAACAUAGCAAAGGACAGCUGUUGCAGGGACUACCAGUGUCUGCUGAAGUCCAUCCUCUCCUUCCUCAGGGCCAACACUGGAACAGAGCUCAUGGUGAAACCACAUUUGCCCCUUGCCACGUGACUAAAGGCUUCCUAAAGAAAUACAAGUGGAAGUGACCUGUGCUGCUUAAGAGCCAGAGCUUUUAACAGAGCAGAUAUGAGUCCUCCAUACUUUCUUUCCUCUCCUUUUGAAUGGACACAGGUGACAAAAAAAGUAACAAAACACACACACACAAAAACCAAAGAGAUGGUAGAGUGACAAGAUGGAGAAGCCUGGAUCCCUGUAUCACCACAUGGAGGAAAGCCACCCACCAAUAUCCAUAAGGGUUCUGUGUUUAAAAGUCCUAAUAUAUUUUUGGGUCUGCAAAAAUACUGACAGUUAAACCUAUCCUAAUACCUACAGAUUAAAAAACACACACAAGGAAAAUACAGGUGAAACAGUAACAAUUCUGCCCAUGUCAGUGCUGUCUCUGCCUCACACUUCAGGGGACUACCCAACACAGCUACAAGAAAAAUGUACUAGCAGGAUCAAAGUGAGUAUGUUUUAGAAUUUCGUUUCAGAAAAUUAGAAGUUGGUGAACUGCUGUAGAGAAGUCAGGUAGACAAAGCCAUUGAAGCAUUGAAACCCACAUUUACACUUUCUUGAUGAGAACACCUUUUUGAGCAAACCACUUGGUAAAACUGACCCGUUUGAGAGAGGAAUAUACUUCCCGACAAGAAUAUCUGAAAUUUCAUCCUCACUGAUGAACAAUUCUCAAAUUUCAUUUGCUCAGAGGGAAAACAACUUGUACAGUGCGACUCAGCCCACAAUGACACAGAAGUUAAUUUCUGUCUUCUUUUUCUCAAUCUUUUCUCCCUUUCUUUUGUUAGCAGGUUUCAAAACGCUGACCCAGUAGCUGAGGCUUAUCUCCAUCCCCUUGGACUACUUCUCCAACCUACCAGCAGCAUCAAAUGACAGGCAGGCCUAUGCAGAGGGGCACAGAAGUCUGACCUGGAAAUGUCUUGCAGAGAUCUGUGCCCACUGGGCAAGGAAAAGAGGGAGACCCUGCACCAUGUUCCUGGGUAAGUCAUGAGCCAGCAAGUGGCAUUUAAGUCCUCUUGGUACCCAGGUAGCACUGCCAUCAUUUAAAAUGCUUUCCAGGUAUUCAUGAAAAUAAGCACAUGCCCACAUUCUGCAGAGUAUAAGAAAUAUCAAAGGGAUGUGCUAUGAAAAGACAGAGAACUGGUAUUCAGUACAUUUAACCAAUUCACUUCUUCAUCUCCCUUGGUUGGGAAUUCAUAUCUUUGCUGUAAGAACAUGCUCUUAGGCUUUUAGCAUUUUGGUACGGGAACAAAGAAAAAUUAAUAGACGGAAUGGGGGCAAAGUUGAGGCUGAAUGUGAGAUACCUACCUAUAAAUAUGAAUGCAACCCCUAACAAAUUCGUAGGCAGACUGAAAAUCAUGUGGGCGAACUGGUUCUUGAAAACUAUUUGUAGAACUCCUCUAGUGGGCCCAAAGAGUUAAUACACUCCCCUAAACCUCUUCUCUUCUCAUUAAGUUGGACUCUGGAAAGUUUGGGUGAAUUUUCACAUCAUACAUUCUCAACCACAACUAGAAAUCCAGAAGGCGUGUCAACAAAAUCUGUCCCUGGAAGAUCUGCCCUGAAAUCUACUCUCUGGAGCACCCUGCCAUGACCCAGUUUUGUGACAUCAAUGCCGGGGCAUAUCUGGGUGUUAACUGCUCUGGAAAACUCCCGGGUGAGAAAUUCAGGCCAUCCAAUUAGGACACUUCCAGGUUACCUCUAGCUUAAACACUCUGACUGGUUUUAUCUUAUUAGUCUUCAUCACAUCCCUGUUCUAGGCUAAGCUUUCCCUCAGCCCUGCUGCUGCUUUAGAGAAGCAAUGGACAGAUUUUGCAUAGAAUAAAAAAAAUUCUUAAUUUCCAGCCAUCGAGGCUAACUUCUUGCCUCUCAGCAGCUUUUAAAAUAUUGAUGGCUUUUUCCUCAUAACAGACAAGCUGAGUGGAGUCUGGAGGGCCUGCUCUUAACUGUGACUAGAAAUGAAUUUCAUGGAAUUUACCACAUUUUUCAAGAGAAGGCACACUUGGGGGAAGGGGUGGUGGCAGAGGGCAACAUCUGACCAUCUUCCUUUCCAGCCCAGACCCUUCUGAUUCAGGCUCUACACAGACCAUACCCAACCUGCGGGCCUUCUCUGCUCGCAGGUGUGACAUCUACUUCCAGCACUUGUGGUCAGGUAGCAAUAGCAAGGAUGGCCCGGGCUCAAGGAACAACAGAGUGUCUGCCUAGAGGGCUCAAGAUUUGUUUGAAAGUUAUUAGCUCCAUGUUCAAGAGGGGGGAAAAGCAGGCCUAAGAGAUAACCAGCAACCGAAUCGGGGAGUAGAAGAUAACAUCGCAGAAACAAGGUGAUGCAUCUCAUACUGUCUUCUUAACUGAAUGGCUUCUAACAAGUCUCCAAUUAAAGAUGUUGGUCCCAGAGAUCAUGGUCUUGGGUUCUAAUAAAACUGUUCAUUUCUUCCUUGACAAUCACUCGCCACUAGAGAACAGUCAUACAAUUGUAUGCCAUCCUCCUCUCAGGUCCUACCAACCCCUCCUCCUAAGGUAUCCAUGGUUACCUGGAAAGUCAACUACUCUUGGUCUAUACAAGGCCAGGACUGUCCUGCAAUAAAAUCCAUUGUUUUAUGUUUUCCCUAUUAACUGGAAAGCUCAUGUUCUACUUACAGUUUGAAGACAGACUGUGAUUUCAUGGGCAAUCCUUUAUAUACAAGAUUUUGAGUCUUGGGUUUUCCUCAAAACAUCACUAACAGUCUACAGAUUGCCACGAACAUCUUUGUAAACAAGAAUAAUUAUCCCUAGAGACUACCUAGUCUAUGAAAAAAAAUCUACAACGCUUUUCCUUUGGAUGAGCUUUGUACAGAACGCAGGUCUGAAGCAAACCACUUGACCAUGCCCUUCUGGGUCUCCUUCAAUAGCUGGCUGUCAAAGUAGGACGCUAAGAAAGGGACACUGGUCUAGAUUGCUUUUUAAAACCCACAUUCUGUAACUAUGGCUAUGUUCUGACUGCUUUCAGAACAAAAGAAAACUGUAAGCAUCAAUAUCCUUAUUUUCAAGAGGUCUACCUAUGUUCAGAUGAGUACAUGAAAGUGUAGUCUAAACAAGUUUACCUACAAACAAAAAAUUCAAAAUAUUAAACAGAAAAAGAUGUUGGCAACAGAUUAAGUGUUCUGCCUCCCAGGGCUUGUUCUAAAGCUUCCAGACUCCUAGGAGGUCUGACCAUCACAACCCAUGUUUUCCCUUCAGAAGAUAACAAAAUAGAACUACCCAAUUUGGGAAAGGGCUUGCUGAAUGCAGUUUUUAUCAGUCACUGCAUUCGGCUCCCAUAUUAAGGACAGCAGAAUAAUUAUUUUUGAAAUUGUACACUGCCACACAGAACAGAAUAAGCUGGAACACCAGGAGAUAAUGGACUGAUUACACAGCUAUCCUUUUAAACAUUUCAUCAGUCUUAGAACAGCAGAUAAAACAACUAUUUCAUGUGUACCAGUGGGUUCCAGAUUAAUCCUGCAGCGUUAAAAGCCGUGGAACCACAAAUCAGCUGAUUCCAAUUUAAAGCAAUAAAUCACUGGUUAAUGUUGACACAGUUAUAUGGGGUCUGGUUACCAGGUGACAGUUGCUGUAAGUUUUAAUCCAACUUCUCUAUUGAAAAAUACACUAUCUUGCAACUGCCUUGAAGCUGCCACAAAAAUACAUUUUUAAAGGAGUAAUAAACAAAUAUCAAGAAAUAGCCUUCAUAAAAUUGUCAGUAUCAAAACGCUACAGAAGAGUCCUCAUAAAGAAAUGCAGUCAGCAGUAAAUAUAUACUAGCACACUAAGCAUGAGGAGACAGAACAGAUUUUGCAUACAUGCACCCAAAAUGAGAUCCCCAUUUGGGAAUAAAGAUGGAAGAGGUUCUCCCUCCUCCCUCUGCCACCGACCGUGUAAGUCAAACAGAACUGAGAUUCUGUUCAGCGGAUCAGGCGGGGGAGCCCAAAGGACAGCCUGUGUUACUUCCGUGUUGGAUUGUUUAACAGAAAAGUGGCUCACUGAGAUAGCCCAUAAAUGCUGCUGCUGCUCUCACUGGAGGUAUGAGGCAAUCGGGACACUGAACUGUAUUCUGGAGAGUACAGAAAAUGAUUUUUGUUCUCUUUUUCCCCUGUGACAUUUAAUCAGGGACCAUUUGCUACCCUAGUAUCUGUUUAUUUUAUGGGAACUGAAACUUGAGAUGAAACUGGAUGCUACUUAAGCCACAAAACCUUUUUUACCCAUAUGAAUGGACAGGAGAAGGAGUGAGCAUCACAAUGGGAGGCUCCUGGAUUCGCCAGUUCCCUGGUAUCACGGACAGAGUGCAGAGUCACAGAGGGCAGCUUCAGUCCCAAGUCUCCCAGCUGAAGCAAGUCACUGACCACCUUCAACCAGAGAUUUCUUUUCCGUGUAAAAUGAAGAAAAUGAAGAUGCUCAUCCCUACCCUGCCUACAGACUCAACCAACGCAGACAAUGAAUGCAAGAACAAUGGGAACCCUCCUUUCUUUCUUUCUUUCUUUUUUUUUCUUUUGAGACAGAGUCUCGCUCUGUCGCCCAGGCUGGAGUGCAGUGGUGCGAUCUCGGCUCACUGCAACCUCCGCCUCCCGGGUUCAAGUCAUUCUCCUGCCUCAGCCCCAUGAGCGGCUGGGAUUACAAGCGCAUGCGCCACCACGCCUGGCUAAUUUUUGUAUUUUUUUGUAGAGACGGGGUUUCACCAUGUUGGUCUGGCUGGUCUUGAACUCCUGACCUCGUGAUCUGCCUGCCUUGGCCUCCCGAAGGGCUGGGAUUACAGGUGUGAGCCACUGCACCCGGUUCUGUUUUGUUUUGUUUUGUUUUUUUUAAAGAGAGAGGGUCUUGCUUUGUUGCCAGGCUGGAGUGCAGUAUAACCACAAACUCCUGGGCCCAUGCUGUCCUCCCUCCUCAGCCUCCUGAGUAGCUGGGACCACAGGCAUGAACAAUCAUGCCUGGCUAAUUUUGUUAUUUUUUUGCAGAGCUGGGGGUCUCGCUGUAUUGCCCAGGCUGGUCUUGCCAACUCCUGGGCUUAAGUGAUCCUCCAGCCUUGGUCUCCCAAAGUGCUGGGAUUACAGGUAUGAGUCACCACGUCUGGCCUCAAAACACCCUGUUAAUAGAUGAAUUCUAUGCCAAUGUAAGUUAUUACUGAACAGGUAUCUAUGUUCUUUAGUGUAAAAACCCAAUCCACCACAGCAGGAGCUAAGCUGCCUGCAGCAAGUUACUCCCCAUCUUCAUUUUCCUCCUUGAGAAAGACGCUGAUGCUGCUCACGUGCUUCCCAGGGUUACUGUGGGACGACUGGUCUAAAUGACUCCAAAUUACAUAUUCAGGGAUUUAUAUGAUAAUACAGCUGCUAGCCAAUAAAAAUAGCCUAAUUAUGAAUUCAAACUAUAUGCAAAUGCAAAGGAUAAAGUAAUUCUCAAGGGACCAGUUUUUGUUUUUUUCUCCCCCGCCUGAGGUGCUCUCUCACCAUGGACGUGGACAAAGGAGGUUUAAAUGAAUACUUUGUUUUGCCAUGUUCAAAAAAAGAGUAUUAAUAUUUUGUGACUGCAUCUGUGAAUGAAGACACUCAAAAAGCCAUGUUUCCAACUUAGGUUAAUAAUAAGGCUAUUUGUCCACCCACUCUUCGGCACUGCUGCAAUAUUCCUGGCCUCGAGUGGGAGGCCACGUGGAACAAGGCCUCAGAAAACAAAGGACACGCAGCCUCCCUGAGCCAGUUCCUAUAAAACACCACCAGGCAGGCCACAGCCUUGACUGUCUUAGUGGCUGCAACUCUCCUUUUCCCUUCUCCAGCAAGCGUACGGUUUGUGACGUCAAGGUCUGCCAAAAGAGCUCGGGUCACGGUACCUAGGUUAUGGCAAAAUAAUCUUCCUUCUAAUUCCAAUCAGACGCCAGUCAAAACUCUGAACACAACUGUUGCCUUGUCCUGUUUUCCUUAGUGACACUGCCUUAGUGACAUUGCUUUCCACAAGAAGCACUGCUAUCCGCCUGGAUGGAUGUGGAAGGUUUGUGUCUACGAUUAGGAACUAGCAAGGGAUGAAAGAAAUGGUACCUAAGUCUGGCUUCAAGGACCUCAUGACUUCAUGUAGCAAAAGCAGAAGUCAGGGAAUACCUCAUUUUACUCACUGCCUUUCAGAACAACCCACUGCACACUAAACCUCCUCUUGGUGCCUGCUGUGUUUCUGUUCUCCUUGGUGCAGAAAAAUGAGCCAAAUAGCAGUUAACACUCUCAGACAGCACUUGGAGGAUAGUCUCGCAAGAGGACAGUAAAAGUGCCAAGUGUGACAUUACUCUGUUGUAACAGAAGGAGAAAUAUUAUCACACCUAGAGGUGUGAUAGGAGUUUAAGUUCAUGGUCAAAUGCUGACGAUGAGUAUCAUAGAUUUCUAUAGCUUCCAAAAGGGCAUUCAAAAGCUCCUUCUCAACCAUAGAGGGAAAGACAUUACUGUCUCUGCUACACUGAGAUGGGAUGAGUGCCACAGGAUGCUUAAAAGCUGCCUGUUAAAAAUUCAAAUUCAGGGCAGAAGCCACUGAGAUGAAGCUCCCCUCCACUCCUUCCUGAGAUCCUGGCUUGUCCAACAAAGACGCAUCAGGAUUUUUGUAACCCAGAUGGUACUAUAAAAUAUGAGAGAUUAUUGCUUUCUGUGAAACAGCAAAUAAAAAUUGAGUUGAACUUCACAAUGUUAAGUGCUACUGUGAGCAUUCGCAAGCAAUGUCUCCUUCAGAUUCAGAAACUGCUAUCUAACUCAAUUUCUAUUAAAAUUUACCAUUAUAUUCACAGUAAAAUAGCCUAAUAUAUUAACAUGUCACUGAUCUUUGCUGAUAAUAACCAAAACGGGGAAGGCUAGCAAGAGUGCAUUUGAAGGCUACGGGCCAUCUUCCCUUUGUGCAGCUUGCUUUGCCUUUCCUCCUACCCUUCAGUGGUCAAUGUGUGGACCCUGAAUGUUCAGGACAGCUUUGCAGGGAAAGGACUUACUGGUUCUAGGGGACUGUAUGAAUGCAAAGGUGUACACAUGUUCGUUACUGGGCAAAGACCAAUUUUUUCAUUUCAAAAUUUUGAAUUUUCUCAUUUUUCAUUUCAAAAUGAAAACUCAAUUUAAAAAGUAAAAAUAGGCUGGGUGUGGUGGCUCACACCUGUAAUCCCAGCACUUUUGGAAGCCGAGGCAGGUGGAUCACGAGGUCAAGAGAUCGAGAUCAUCCUGGCCAAGAUGGUGAAACCCCGUCUCUACUAAAAAUACAAAAAUUAGCUGGGUGUGGUGGCGUGUGCCUGUAGUCCCAGCUACUCAGGAGGCUGAGGCAGAAGAAUCGCUUGAACCUGGGAGGUGGAGGUUGCAGUGAGCUGAGAUCAUGCCACUACACUCCAGCCUGGCGACAGAGUGAGACUCUGUCACAAAAAUAUAUACAAAAUAAAAAAUUUUUAAAAAGUAAAAAUACUGUGAAAAAUUCUAAAACACGAAAUGCACCAAAAUUAGAGUUUCAACACUGUAAGUCUUGUCCUUGAACUACCAAAUUCCUAGCAAUGUGACCACUAUUUAAACUAAAUCUCAGUUGUCUCAUCAGAAAAUGAAGAUGACUGGACCUCCCCAGCCUCUUUCCCAGGUUAUACUGAGAAUCAAUACUUCAUAAAUCUAUAAACAUGAAGCAUCAUAUGGGCACAUUUUAGAAUUUCUUGGAAAAGCUAUUCCAUUUACAAAAUACCAUAAACCAUGCAUAAGAUCAAACAGUCUUCAAAGAUCACACAUUCUUUUGGCUAAACCUGCAUUAUUAUGUUCUCACUAUGAAACCUAUAUUGGCCCCUCAAUGGGUACUAUCCUUCUGUUGUACACCCGGCCCCUAGGUGGGUUUAAGUCUCUUCCUCCUUCCCACACACUGGAGUCCUCAGGUGGAAUGAACAGGAAUGCUGGCUCAAGACAGCCCCAGCCCCAGACGGAGUGGGGAGGGCAUCAGCAGGAGCACAGAACUUACCCAUAAUUCAGUUACAUCUCAUUGUACAGAACCUUCUUUGGCUAACACAGUUUGUGGUGAAAUUUUCUUCUGUACUCAUUUAAAUGUAAUUUCUGCACUUGUCACGGUGAAACUUUGGAGUUAUUCUCUACACGUUCACAGAAAUGUGUGAUUUCUUACAGGCUCCCAGUUCUAUGAUUUUGAGACUGCUAUUGAUGGGUGAGGUGGUUAAUUUCACUCUUUCUCCUCUUGCAUUUGGCACCUAGGGGUUUUCCAACCAGGAAGCAAUGACAGCCCUGGAGAAGCUUGGCCCAGAUCCUCACGGUGCCUGAGAAAAUCCAGCUCUCCAAAGGAAGGACUAUGAUGACAUUCCACGAAGUCACUGGAAGCCCCACACGAGGCUGAAGAUCUGGGGGUGUUUGGGUUCAGGGCUGUGAACUACCAUGACUAAUUCUUGCUAAAUGACCUGCAGUAGUUGUUGGAAACAAUGUUAAGAAAAAAAGUCAUGAAGAUCUUUACAUGAAAAAUGUGAAAAUUCACAGACACUGCCAAAGUGAGUGGAGAAUGCAAUGAGAGUAACACCAAACGAAAUUUACCAGAGCGCUCUCGCAACGUCCAGCUUGGUCCUUCUCAACCUCGGCUGCACAUUAGAAUCACCUCAAUACCUUCAGGUGCCACCUGGGACCCAGCAGGGGAAUUAAAUCCAAAUUCCUGAGGGUGGGGUUGGGACACUGGUAUUUCUCUGUUUCGAUUCCUCUAGGUGAUUCUAACGCACGCCAGGGGUUAAAACCAUGGCAUCCCAUUUGAGUCCCAUGUGAACUCGGUGAAAAGAACUCUGUGAGGGUGGGUAACUCACCCAGGUCACACAGGAGAUGAAUACUGUCCAGAUCGGAUCUCCACAUCCCUCACUGCUUUCCAAAAUAGCAAGGCUGGCUUGUUAUUGUCAUGAGACUGCCAUGGGGACAGCUGUUACGGGGAGGUGAAGGAGCAGGGUGCCUGACUUCCCAGGAAACCCAGCUCUUGCACAAUCAAGUCCUUCCAUGUUAGCAGCUGAUGCUGUGGUCUCCCCUCUAUCGGUCAGUCCAGGGUGGCAGGGCUGGGCAGCACUGUGGUGGCACACAGUGCCAUGAGACUACUCAGCAUGGGAAAAACAGCUUCCUGGGAGUCAAAACAGCUGGUGCCCUUGAAUGUCACUAGAAUAAAAGAGGCCACGCCCUUGGUUCCUCCAACUAACUGCCCACAGCACUGCCUCCCUCCAGCCUUGCUGGGAGCAAGGGGAUGCUCACUCAGGAGGCCGAGUUUCCUCUGCGCCUCUUGAAGUAUUUUGGGGCUGUGCUGGAAGAGCCCCAUCUCAACCAUGACUGAACGCAAGCACCCUCCUCAGUAGGUAUGAAUCUCACAAGAUCCCAGCCUGUAGGGGUGCACAGCUGAGCAGGUGGGACAGCUGGCUCCUUAAACCUGAUGAGUGUGCUCAGGAAGGGGCUGAACAUGGAGAAGAGCAGGUGACACUCCCUCAAUACUAAUUGGCUAUUCUGGGAAAACAGCAAUAACCCAUAAAAUGACACUGACUUGUCAGGAAAAUUCCCUGGGGUUGCCAGGUUCCUAAGAAGUAGAGUGGACACAGGGCAGGGCCUCUGCAUGGGAGGGCAGGGCCUCUGCAUGGGAGGGCAGGGAGGGUGGAAAACAGGCUUGGGAUAAACAGCAUGAGCAUGCACACGGCCCCUCCCUCCUCCUUCACUGGGGAUCCGUUUCUCCACACUCAGAUUUUGGAUCAUCGUUUUGUUCAGAAAUCUAAACACCAAUGAGAUGACCAUUAUGUAACUAUUUUUCACUUAUGAAGAAGUCCAGUCUGCCGACUGGGAAUAAGCCUCAUCUUCUGCAGGGGGGAGGCCAGGACAUGUAAUAUCCUGGGGAGGCCACAGUUAAAUGAAACCCAAGGGCAGGCCAAGGGGUGCCCCAGGCUCCAACCUCCCCUGCUACUCAGUGACUUCAGAUUUCAAGGUGGUGUCCCUGUUGUAUGCCCCCUUGAUAGGUCACUUUCCCGAGACCACAAGGUUGGUAGCUGACGCCCCACAGCACGUCCUGGUCCAGAGGUCUCCUCCCCACUGCAACACCAGGAGACACCUCUCCGUUUCAUUGCCUGGGGUACCUCCCACACGAUAGAGGAAGGGUACAUGUGUGAUGGAGCCCCUUAUAAACAUCAGGACAGAGGCAUCAGCUUCAACUGGCUGAGAUCAACAGAGCAUGGCCCCUUCCCACACUCCCACUCCUGCCCAUUUACUCUCCAAGCCCCAUAGCUAGAGAGAACCAUCUAAGUAGGAAGCCUCUCUGUAAAGGUGAAAAGGGACAGAACUAGAUGAACGUGAGUGUCCAUUGUUACAGGCACUGAGCCAGGUGCGUUUCAAUACAUCAGGCCCCAUUUACAGACGAGAAAACAGAUUCAGAGAGGACCAGCAGCUUGCCCAACCUCAGGGAACUGGAUUUAAACCCCAAUUUACUUCUAAGUUUUCUGUACACAUGAUCAGGACGUCCAUGAAGGUCAGCAGCAUUAAAUACAUUGAUGCUGCUGUGCAACUGUAAUCACUGUCCAUCUCCAGAACUCUCACAUCUCCCCACACUAAACCUCCAUCCCCCUUUACACUCUUACUCCCUGUUCCCUCCUGCUCCAGCCCCUGGCAACCACCAACCUAUUUUCUGUCUUUCUGAAUUUGACUGCUCCAGGUAACUCAGAAGUGGAAUCAUUUCAAUGGCUUUUUUUUUUUUUUUUUUUUUUUUUUUAAAGAAAA